UGACCUCGGAUCAGGUAGGAAUACCCGCUGAACUUAAGCAUAUCAAUAAGCGGAGGAAAAGAAACCAACAGGGAUUGCCCCAGUAACGGCGAGUGAAGCGGCAACAGCUCAAAUUUGAAAUCUGGCCCCCUUUGGGGGUCCGAGUUGUAAUUUGCAGAGGAUGCUCUUGGCAAGGCACCGUCCGAGUUCCCUGGAACGGGACGCCGCAGAGGGUGAGAGCCCCGUGUGGACGGAUGCCGAGCCGCUGUAGAGCUCCUUCGACGAGUCGAGUAGUUUGGGAAUGCUGCUCUAAAUGGGAGGUAAAUCUCUUCUAAAGCUAAAUAUAGGCCACAGACCGAUAGCGCACAAGUAGAGUGAUCGAAAGAUGAAAAGCACUUUGAAAAGAGAGUUAAACAGCACGUGAAAUUGUUGAAAGGGAAGCGCUCAUGACCAGACUUGCGCCCGGCGGAUCAUCCGGCGUUCUCGCCGGUGCACUCCGCCGGGCUCAGGCCAGCAUCGGUUCGCUGUCGGGGAGAAAGGUAGAGGGAAUGUGGCUCCUCGGAGUGUUAUAGCCCCCUGCGUAAUACCCUUCGGCGGACCGAGGUCCGCGCGUCUGCAAGGAUGCUGGCGUAAUGGCCACCGGCGACCCGUCUUGAAACACGGACC
rnacentral:rRNA from 1 species